rnacentral:rRNA from 1 species
GACGAACGCUGGCGGCGUGCUUAACACAUGCAAGUCGUACGGUAAGGCCCUUUCGGGGGUACACGAGUGGCGAACGGGUGCGUAACACGUGAGUAACCUGCCCACAACUUUGGGAUAACGCUAGGAAACUGGUGCUAAUACUGGAUAUGUGCUCCUGCUGCAUGGUGGGGGUUGGAAAGCUCCGGCGGUUGUGGGUGGACUCGCGGCCUAUCAGCUUGUUGGUGGGGUAGUGGCCUACCAAGGCGGCGACGGGUAGCCGGCCUGAGAGGGUGACCGGCCACAUUGGGACUGAGAUACGGCCCAGACUCCGACGGGAGGCAGAAGUGGGGAAGAUUGCACAAUGGGCGCAAGCCUGAUGCAGCAACGCCGCGUGCGGGAUGACGGCCUUAGGGUUGGAAACCGCUUUCAGCAGGGACGAAGCUUUUUGUGACGGUACCUGCAGAAGAAGCACCGGCUAACUACGUG